rnacentral:lncRNA from 1 species
CUCAAAGUUCCAGGCAUGGAAAUCGGUCCUGUUACUUUAACGCUGGAGAGAGAUGAGGGUUCCUUCUCUUGGGACAAUGGUCCAUUUGGCCCCCAGGCCCAUUGUUGGCCAAGAAAGGAUGAAGGAAUCGGGGUUCCGCCUCCUUCCCCAUGAGGGGAUUUGGAUGUGCAGAAGGGAAUGGAACUGCAGUCAGGUCAACCCUCAGCCACUCUGGAAGGACUGCAGUUAAAUCACGAAGACAACCCUCCUUCGAUUAUGAAGCAGCUGUGGAGUUUGGAUAACAAUGGAGGUGAAGCCUGACCCUGGAAACCAGUCAAGAUUCUCAGAGAUAAACUCUUGGGCAGCAAGAACACUGUCAAUGAAAAGAAACUGACCUUUCGCCUUCUGGAGUCACAGAAUUCCCACAAAUGCUGUGUCCUCAUCAGCUCUGGCAGGCCUCGCCACCACAG